rnacentral:rRNA from 1 species
UACGUAGGGUCCGAGCGUUGUCCGGAAUUACUGGGCGUAAAGAGCUCGUAGGUGGUUUGUCACGUUGUUCGUGAAAACCCACAGCUCAACUGUGGGCGUGCGAGCGAUACGGGCAGACUAGAGUACUGCAGGGGAGACUGGAAUUCCUGGUGUAGCGGUGGAAUGCGCAGAUAUCAGGAGGAACACCGGUGGCGAAGGCGGGUUGCUGGGCUGACACUGACGCUGAGGCGCGAAAGCCAGGGGAGCGAACGGG